GACGAACGCUGGCGGCGUGCUUAACACAUGCAAGUCGAACGGUGAAGCGCCUUCCUUUUUGGUGGGUGUGGAUGAGUGGCGAACGGGUGAGUAACACGUGAGUAACCUGCCCCCUUCUUCUGGAUAACCGCAUGAAAGUGUGGCUAUACGGGAUAUUCUGGGUCUGUCGCAUGAUGGGUCUGGGAAAGAUAUUGUUUCGGUGGGGGAUGGGCUCGCGGCCUAUCAGCUUGUUGGUGGGGUGAUGGCCUACCAAGGCGGUGACGGGUAGCCGGCCUGAGAGGGUGUACGGUCUCACUGGGACUGAGACACGGCCCAGACUCCUACGGGAGGCAGCAGUGGGGAAUAUUGCACAAUGGGCGCAAGCCUGAUGCAGCGACGCCGCGUGAGGGAUGGAGGCCUUCGGGUUGUGAACCUCUUUCGCCAGUGAAGCAGGCCUGCCUCGUUUGUGGGUGGGUUGACGGUAGCUGGAUAAGAAGCGCCGGCUAACUACGUG
rnacentral:rRNA from 1 species